rnacentral:lncRNA from 1 species
ACUCCUCCAGAUGGUCCAGCUGAGGCCCUCUUGGACAACACUUCCUCUCCUGCCCAUGGUGGGAGGUUGGGAAGGACAUUCCCCCAUUUCCAUUUGCUCUGCCAUUCAAAACCUUGUGAGGGCCCUCAGGGAAGAAUCCCUUUGCAGAUGAGGAAACUGAGGCCCCACGUGGUGAAGACAAUUUUUACCCGAAUCCACCCACAACAAGAGACCAUUUGGAUAAUGUACAUUAUGGGAAGAGAACAGAGUCUCAGUGAAGAUCAUGUUUCCCCAGCAACACAGGUGCCAGGAGUAGCUGGCUCUGGUCCCAGCCCAGACUCAGAAAUCCUGAGCCACCAGACCAUUUCUAGAUUAACAAUGACCCACUGGAAACCAGUGUCAGCAUAACAACAGUUACGAGAGCUAAACCUACAAAAUAGGAACUACAAGAAAAGAAUUCCUGCCUGAGAAAGGAGUGGAAGACCCAUGAGAUACCUUCUUCAGAACCUCUGGCAGCCUUCCUGGGAUGUGGAAAACACUGUUUGUUUUUCCUUCCAUUUCAUUUAGAUGAAGAGUUGACUACUCGCACAGUCAUACAGUUGAUGGCAUUGUCAGGAAUAAUCUGUAAAUAAUCUGUAACACUCAUGUUUACUCAUAAACAGAUCCCUCUUUCCUGGACCAAAUUGCAGUUUUCUUUGGAAACUAUUUUAAUCAAGCCUUUUUCGUUUCAAAGUAACAUCAACUCACAUCAAACUAACUCAAGCCAGCCA